CGGAGGGUGCAAGUGUUAUCCGGAAUCACUGGGUUUAAAGGGUGCGUAGGCGGCCUUGUAAGUCAGAGGUGAAAGCUUCCCGCUCAACGGGAGAACUGCCUUUGAUACUGCAAAGCUUGAAUGAGCACGAGGCAGGCGGAAUGUGGCAUGUAGCGGUGAAAUGCUAGAUAUGCCAUAGAACACCGAUUGCGAAGGCAGCCUGCCAGAGCUGUAUUGACGCUGAGGCACGAAAGCGUGGGGAGCGAACAGGAUUAGAUACCCUGGUAGUCCACGCCCUAAACGAUGCUUACUCGACGUACGGGACUUCGGUCCGGUGCGUCCAAGCGAAAGCGCUAAGUAAGCCACCUGGGGAUACGCCGGCAACGGUG
rnacentral:rRNA from 1 species